AUUUGAUUUUUUUUUAGGUCAUUGACAGUUAUUAUUUCUCACCAUCAAGCUUUGUCGUUGUUGCCUUAAGUAGUCAAUCUACAUAAAUGCUAUGCAUGUACUUGAGAUUCGUACAUAUUGUGUCAUGCAUGCAUAAUGUAAUAUGUAUGUGAUUAGUUCAAAUCAAAUGUGCUUUUCCAGUUUAGAUGGUGUUUUAUGUUCUGUAUCAUGAGAUCUAUCACUUAUUAAGGCUAAAGAUUUUGGAUUUAGCUUCCUUUUUAAUUUAUGUCAAGCUUUAUUUUUAAGUUGGGCACAGUGACAUAUUUCUGUAAUGCCAUCGUGAGGGAAGCUAAGACAAGAGAAUCAUGACUUCCACACCAGCUGACAAAAUGCUGUGGACAGCAUAAAACAUACCAGAUAUGAGUGAAGAACAGAUAUCAGAUACUCUUCACGUAGAUCCUGGUGAUCAGAACGAUGUCAAACAACAAACGAACAAACAAAAACAAACAGACAAACAAACCCCAGAGGAAAGUAUCACACACGGUUACAUUCAAAUUAAAGAAAAAAUGAAGUCCUACCCUUGAAAGUUUAGUGUCUGACGUCCGGAACUCACAAACCUAAAAUUUCCAAAGGGCUUGCAUAGCCCCCUGUCUCUGACUCUGCCCUUCAUAGCAUAUGAACCCUGCCUGAUCGGCUGAGGACGGCUCACUCCACACCUACUGGUACUUUUGUUUGUCACCCCACAUUCCUGGAAUCUCCAGUGUCUUACGAUCGCCAAAGGCUGAACCUUGAAUAAUGGUCUCAUUACCUGGCUUCAUCCUCAGAGAUUCUUACUUUGUCAGAGAUUCUGACUUGGUCAGAUCGUGGCUACCUUCAACUUCUUUCUAUGGUCCUCUCACUUCCGGAGUUUCUACUAAACCGAGGUUUCAUCCUCACCACCAAGGUUUCCUGGCCUCGCACAGUGUGGAACCUCAGCUGACAUUCAUCCCCUACUCCUUUGUGCUAUUGAACCGGUCCCACCUGGGUGACACACAUUUCCAUGUUUAGCUGCUAGAAAAAGAUUCGUCGUAAGGCCUUUGUAUCAGACAUUGUAUGUGCUGAUCCCGAGGAAAUGCUACCAAAAGAUCUUACCUGAAUGAUGCUAGAUUCUUCAUCACUGAAAAUGUCUUAGCUCCAGCUAACGAGUAACUGUAAAGAAAAGAUUUUUAGAACAAUACCAACCAACCAGAGC
rnacentral:sRNA from 1 species